ensembl:snoRNA
GUGUACAUUCCACUGACAUGCUUUCUUUACAUGUGAGCAGUGUUAUUUCUUAUGUGCUGUACAAAUAGUUGAAGGUUAGUUAGCAGUAUAACUAUAAAUAGUAAUGCUACCAGUCUCCUUUAGGCAAGA